AAACGCUCCGUGAACAAGCGAGGGCGGUUCUUCUUCAGAUCAGUUAGAGAAGUGACACGUUGGGUGUUUUCCUGUGAAGAAGGAAGUGAAGCAACGUUAAAGCUUCAGUCCUAAACAUGAACGCUCAUCUCAUCUUCAUCUUCUUCUUUCUCACAUCCUUGUUGCAGGACGGUCUCACUGACUCUGUGUACACUGGACCUGAAGGAGGAACCAUCACAGUUAGUUGCUUAUUUCGCCUCUCUGGAGAGAAGAAGCUUUUCUGCAGGAAGUCGUGUGGAGACGGAAACGUCCUGAUUGAGACAGAUGGCGUCAGAGCUCAGAGCGGCAGAUACAGCAUCGAAUACGAAGAAGGAGUUUUUCUAACAUCUCAUACAUUUAUUAAUGUGACAAUAAAACAGCUGAGGAAGUCCGACUCUGGAAAUUACACGUGCAGGUUGAAGAGAACUGUUCGUCUAGACUCAACCAAAAGGGUUGAGAUCAUCGUCACAGACGCUUCACCUUCACCGACACCGAACUGGACAGUGGAACCUUCUCCAACAUCUUUCCCAGCAGCCACAGCUCCCACCUCCAACUCUCCUGAACCCAGCGAGCAGUCAUCUGCACUUCAGAUCACAUCUGUUCUGCUGAAUGUGAGUUUCAUCAUCAUCAUCAUCAUCACACUCUCAGUGACUGUGAUGGCUUUCUGCAGGAUAAGAACCAAUAAACACACAGGUUGAAGACGACUCCAUCACAUGCACCUACACUGAGGUGGACUCUGACCUCAGUGACUCACUCUACAGCGCCCCCUAUAGACAUGUUCACACUGUGACUCAGGUCUGUUUUCGACGCCCCUCCUCGCUGGUCUUCCAGAGAAGGUGCGCUCGUUUCUCGCCCGUCAGGUGCCCUUCCUCGCGCCUGGGAGACCCCGCUGAGUUUGCCCACCUGGUGACAUCACUGGCUGAGAACCCGAUGAUUAACGGCGAGGUCAUCAGACUGGACGGAGCCAUUCGCAUGCAGCCCUGAGAGUGUGUGUGUGUGUGUGUGUGUGUGUGCGCGUGUGUCUGUGUCUGUGUGUGUCUGUGUGUGUGCAGUACUUUAUGUUGUUUUCUAAUCUGAUUUGACAUUAAACUGAUUUGUUUAAUUGAUU